rnacentral:rRNA from 1 species
CGAAGCCUGACGGAGCAAUACCGCGUGAGGGAAGAAGGCUUCUGGGUUGUAAACCUCUUUUGUCAGGGAAGAAGAAUUGACGGUACCUGAAGAAAAAGCAUCGGCUAACUCCGUGCCAGCAGCCGCGGUAAUACGGAGGAUGCAAGCGUUAUCCGGAAUCAUUGGGCGUAAAGGGUCCGCAGGUGGCGAAUAAAGUCUGCUGUUAAAGACCGGGGCUAAACUCCGGAAAGGCAGUGGAAACUGAUUAGCUAGAGUACGGUAGGGGUAGAGGGAAUUCCCAGUGUAGCGGUGAAAUGCGUAGAUAUUGGGAAGAACACCGGUGGCGAAAGCGCUCUACUAGGCCGAAACUGACACUGAGGGACGAAAGCUAGGGUAGCGAAAGGGAUUAGAUACCCCUGUAGUCUUAGCGGUAAACGAUGGAUACUAGGUGUAGCUUGUAUCGACCCGAGCUGUGCCGAAGCUAACGCGAUAAGUAUCCCGCCUGGGGAGUACGCACGCAAGUGUGAAACUCAAAGGAAUUGACGGGGGCCCGCACAAGCGGUGGAGUAUGUGGUUUAAUUCGAUGCAACGCGAAGAACCUUACCAGGGCUUGACAUGUCGCGAAUCUAGCGGAAACGUUAGAGUGCCUUAGGGAAUGCGAACACAGGUGGUGCAUGGCUGUCGUCAGCUCGUGUCGUGAGAUGUUGGGUUAAGUCCCGCAACGAGCGCAACCCUCGUCCUUAGUUGCCAAUAUUAAGUUAGGCACUCUAGGGAGACUGCCGGGGACAACUCGGAGGAAGGUGGGGAUGACGUCAAGUCAGCAUGCCCCUUACGUCCUGGGCGACACACGUACUACAAUGGUUGGGACAAAGGGCAGCAAGCUCGCGAGAGUAAGCGAAUCUCAUCAAACCCAGCCACAGUUCAGAUUGCAGGCUGCAACUCGCCUGCAUGAAGUAGGAAUCGCUAGUAAUCGCAGGUCAGCAUACUGCGGUGAAUUCGUUCCCGGGCCUUGUACACACCGCCCGUCACACCAUGGAAGCUGGCUACGCCCGAAGUCGUUACCCUAACCCGGUUUUGGGAGGGGGAUGCCGAAGGUAGAGCUAGUGACUGGGGUGAAGUCGUAACAAGGUAGCCGUACCGGAAGGUGUGGCUGGAUCACCUCCUUU